ACUCCUACGGGAGGCAGCAGUGGGAAUAUUGCACAAUGGGGAAAGCCAUCGAUGCAGCCAUGCCGCGUGUGUGAAGAAGGCCAUCGGGCUUGGUAAGAACUUUCAGUAGGGAGGAAGGUAGUGUAGUUAACACCUGCACUAUUUGACGUUACCUACAGAAGAAGCACCGGCUAACUCCGUGCCAGCAGCCGCGGUAAUACGGAGGGUGCGAGCGUUAAUCGGAAUUACUGGGCGUAAAGCGCAUGCAGGCGGCCUGUUAAGUCAGAUGUGAAAGCCCGGGCUU
rnacentral:rRNA from 1 species